UAAAAUCGAAGUUCCUGCUAACAGGUACUUUUAACCAUAUACAUGGUCUCUACGCAUAAUAUUCUGUGCUGGUGGUUUAGGUUUUAGCUUUUAUAUGCACAUAUAGGUAAAGGGCAAUGGAGGUUACCCUUCCAUUCCCUUUCCUCUCUAUUUUAGAAGAACUGUGUAUUAGAUAUUAAGUGCUCUAGAAAGGGUCUCAUGCAAUUUGAAAAACAAAAAAAGUUCAGCCUCUCCCGUUGCUCUUACUUUCCUUUGGUAUCAGUAUAGAGUCUGCAUUGCCAUGACAUAUUAUUUGCUUUGGCCUUGUAUCUUAUUCUAGGAGUUUUGUCUCUAAAAGGUGCCUAUCGUGAAGAGGAUGCUUACUUGCUUAUAGGCCAUUAGAUUUCCUCCACCUCAAUCGAUGUUGGACAGAGGUUGCAAAGUUUAUUGCAGUUUGGCUUCCAAUUAAUGAAAUAUAUUGUAAUGAAGUGUUGCCUCCCAAUUAAUGAAGCCUAAUUUUAAUGAGGCCCUCCUAGUUAGGGGUGAUGAUUAUUCGGUUUGAACCGAAUAAACCGAAUUGAACCGCCUUAAUUUGAUAAUUCGAUUUGGUUUUUAAGAUAAUUUAAUUCGAUUCGGUUCAA
rnacentral:misc_RNA from 1 species